rnacentral:sRNA from 1 species
GGCCCUCUCACCCUCUUCAGUGAAAUCUUCGAGAACCAUCAGCAGGAAUAGGAUGACAGAACACAGGAACAUCUUCCUAAACUUCAACCCAGACCAUAUUCGUGUGCAAGCUCAAGUUUAUUUCACCCAGGAAAGCUCCAUUUUGUCUUCAACAUUGUGGAAUUUCUGUCUACUGCCACAACAGAGGUUCUGCGGAAGGGAGUGUGUACAGGCUGGCUGGCCUUGUUGGUUGCUUCAGUUCUUCAGCCAAACAUACAUUCAUCCCAUGAAGACAGCGGGAAAGCCCUGGCUCCUAAGAUUGUGGACACUUUACACUUGGACUCAGUGACAUCUUUUUAUGUUUUGAUACGGCACUCAGCAGAAUUUCGAGACCACGUGUGUAGGCAACAAUUUAAAGUUGUCCACAAGAAUGGUUGAAAUAAAGCAACAUUUCAGGCUUUA